rnacentral:rRNA from 1 species
CCAACCGGGGAUGCCUUAGUACGGCGAGUGAGCGGCAAAAGCUCAAAUUUGAAAUCUGGCGUCUUCGACGUCCGAGUUGUAAUUUGAAGAAGGCGACUUUGUAGCUGGUCCUUGUCUAUGUUCCUUGGAACAGGACGUCAUAGAGGGUGAGAAUCCCGUGUGGCGAGGAUCCCAGUUAUUUGUAAAGUGCUUUCGACGAGUCGAGUUGUUUGGGAAUGCAGCUCUAAGUGGGUGGUAAAUUCCAUCUAAAGCUAAAUAUUGGCGAGAGACCGAUAGCGAACAAGUACAGUGAUGGAAAGAUGAAAAGAACUUUGAAAAGAGAGUGAAAAAGUACGUGAAAUUGUUGAAAGGGAAGGGCAUUUGAUCAGACAUGGCGUUUGCUUCGGCUUUCGCUGGGCCAGCAUCAGUUUUAGCGGUUGGAUAAAUCCUCGGGAAUGUGGCUCUGCUUCGGUAGAGUGUUAUAGCCCGUGGGAAUACAGCCAGCUGGGACUGAGGAUUGCGACUUUUGUCAAGGAUGCUGGCGUAAUGGUUAAAUGCCGCCCGUCUUGAAACAACGGGACCA